rnacentral:rRNA from 1 species
AUGCUUAGGCUAGCUGUAGUGGCGUUUGCCAAGUUGCUGCCCCAAGGCAAAGCGGAUGCAGAAACGCCUCAGUUUUGCACAGUCCGCGCCCUGUACAGAAGUCAUCAAGUCAAGUCUCUUACCGGCUGGGGGCAUAAUUUGCUGCUGGGAGCGAGGUGCUGUUGGCCUGAGCUGCAAGAGCUGGAGAACGAUGGACAACAUAUGGUAACCAGUUCAUGUCAGUCACAGUUCAGGGGAAAGCCAAACGUUUCACGUUAUGUGAUGUAUCGGCGGACGUGUGUCACAGUUGACCACGAUGCUAUUUUUAAAUCAAUGAAUAUAAAAUGUGUUGAUCCGAUCGGCCGAUCGCUUGUCAUCCUGAAAGUUGAAGCUUCACAGUUCUGA